UCGAUCAAGAAGGGAAAGCAAGGGGGAAACCCUAAAUUCUGCAAAUUAGCAAAAUUGAAAGGGAAAUCAAGGCCAAAUCACAUGCAUGAACUCGAAACCUUAACUAUCUAAGCUAGUACAACAAGCGGCGUUAAGGAAGAAAGUUCGAGUCAAGUGAAGCAACAAGGGGAUCAAGACCGAGGUAAAUCUCAUGUAUAGCUAUCAAGCUUCGCCCG